rnacentral:rRNA from 1 species
GACGAACGCUGGCGGCGUGCUUAACACAUGCAAGUCGAACGGAAAGGCCUCUUUCGGGGGGUACUCGAGUGGCGAACGGGUGAGUAACACGUGAGUAACCUGCCCUUGACUUUGGGAUAACUUCAGGAAACUGGGGCUAAUACCGGAUAGGAGCUCCUGCUGCAUGGUGGGGGUUGGAAAGUUUCGGCGGUUGGGGGUGGACUCGCGGCUUAUCAGCUUGUUGGUGGGGUAGUGGCUUACCAAGGCUUUGACGGGUAGCCGGCCUGAGAGGGUGACCGGCGACAGUGGGGCUGGGAGACGGCGCAGACGGCGACGGGAGGGAGCAGUGGGGAAUAUUGCACAAGGGGUGGAGGCCGGAGGCAGCAACGCCGUGGGCGGGAUGACGGCCUUCGGGUUGUAAACCGCUUUCGCUCAUGACGAAGCUUUGUGUGACGGUAGUGGGUAAAGAAGCACCGGCUAACUACGUG